GCCUACGGGGGGCAGCAGUAGGGAAUCUUCCACAAUGGGCGAAAGCCUGAUGGAGCAACGCCGCGUGGGUGAAGAAGGUCUUCGGAUCGUAAAACCCUGUUGUUAGAGAAGAAAGUGCGUGAGAGUAACUGUUCACGUUUCGACGGUAUCUAACCAGAAAGCCACGGCUAACUACGUGCCAGCAGCCGCGGUAAUACGUAGGUGGCAAGCGUUAUCCGGAUUUAUUGGGCGUAAAGGGAACGCAGGCGGUCUUUGAAGUCUGAUGUGAAAGCCUUCGGCUUAACCGGAGUAGUGCAUUGGAAACU
rnacentral:rRNA from 1 species